CUAUCAUCCUACAUUCAUUUUUUAAAAUAGAGAGAAGGCUCUCAACUCUCUCACCCUCUAAACAUCCGGCCAAGGUCCGGUCACCAGACCACCGUAGCGGCCGUCGGUCGCCGGAGACUGCGCUGCAAUCCACGGUGGCCGGAGAAUGCGAAAAGGCCCAUUUCUUACCCGUUUUCAGAUGGAUUUGAGGAUCAAAUACUCCUAGCCCAAAAAUGUUUUAAAAAAAAACUUUGUCCUCUCCUUAGAACGGUUGUAACAUUGGGGAGGAGCUCUUCCGACAACGAGAAGGCCAAACGACUCCGGUGUAAGUGGAGCAGGUGUGCUGGUGGCAGACAAUAGGGGUGGCACUAGGUGGCUAAAAUUUUUUUUUUUUUGUGUGUGUUCGGGUUGAGCUAGUGUAAUGGGAUUAGGUUGGGCCAAAAUGAUUUAGACUUGUAACUGAGUAAUGGGCUAGGUUUAAUUUGGGUUUAAUUUUAUUAAGCUCGGGUAAAAUUUGGGCCUUACACAUAUUAUUGCAGCUUCUUAAAUGCAUAUGAUUAUAUAUCAUGAUAUUUGAAGGAUUGAGAUAAAAA